rnacentral:rRNA from 1 species
UACGUAGGGGGCAAGCGUUGUCCGGAAUCAUUGGGCGUAAAGAGCGUGUAGGCGGUCCGGUAAGUCGGUUGUGAAAGUCCAGGGCUCAACCCUGGGAUGCCGACCGAUACUGUCGGACUAGAGUUCGGAAGAGGCGAGUGGAAUUCCCGGUGUAGCGGUGAAAUGCGCAGAUAUCGGGAGGAACACCUAUGGCGAAGGCAGCUCGCUGGGACGUUACUGACGCUGGGACGCGAAAGCGUGGGGAGCAAACAGG